AUCUAAUGGGCCUGCACAGGUGUAGCUGAGGACAUAUGGAUCUGAGGCUUGCAGAAUCUUUAUCACUAGUGGAAAGAUCUCAGCUUGACUCUUUGGAGCACAGGAAAGAAAAUAGCCCUGUUCAUAGGCCUCACAGAAGGAUUUGGACAAGAUAAGGAAAGAGAAACGGUCUAGAGCACUGGGACUGAAAUCUUAUUCCAAGCAUGGAGGGCAGCAUGGAAAAAAGCGUAGAGUGAGAGAAGUCAAAAGGAUGUGAAAGGGCGAUGCCACAGCAUAGCAUUGGGAGUUCAUAUGCAGUUGAUUACCCACCAUGACCCCGGAGUCCAUUUCAGAGUCAUUGCUUUCCAGGACACUAUGUUCCAUCCUG